UUCCUUUCGUUCCUACAGCCAGUACGUUCACUUUGAAAAAAUUGGAGUGCUGAGAGCGGGCUGUUCAAGCUUGCAUACGAUAAGCAUAGAAUUAUGGAAGAUGACCUCGUCUACGUCUGUCGGUCUCCGUCUACGGCGAGGUAAUGAUCGAAGGGAGCGGUCGGGGCCACUCGUAUUGCAACGUUAGAGGUGAAAUUCUUGGAUCGUCGCAAGACAAACUGCAGCGAUGGCGUGUGGCAAGCACGUUUUCCUCGAUCAAGAGCGAAAGUCGGAGGUUCGAAGACGAUCAGAUACUGUCGUAGUUCCGACCGUAAACGAUGCCGACCGGCGAUCCACCGGCGUACGCUUCCAUGACCCGGCGGGUAGCCUGCGGGAAACCAGAGUUCGGUUCCGGGGGGAGUAAUGUUGCAAAGCUGAAACUUAAAGGAAUUGACAGAAAGGAAACACCAGGAGCCUGUGGCUUAAUUUGACUCAACACGGGAAAACUCACCCGGUCCGGACACUGGUAGGAUUGACAGAUCGAUAGCUCUUUCUCGAUUCGGUGAGUGAUGGUGCAUGACCGUUCUUAGUUGGUUAGAUCCGUCUGGUUGAUUCCGAUAACGAAAGAGACUCCGGUCUGCUAACUAGUACGCCAAUGUGUGUUUAUUCAACAGCAAGCUCAGCGUUCAUCGCAGCGCCCGGGUCCGGGUCGGUUUUGCACAUUUCUUAGAGAUACGGGUGGCAGAAAGCACGCGCGCUACAUUGGCGGUAUCAGCUGGGACUUCGUCCCAGCCAGAGAGGGUCGGGAAACCUCUUGACUGCCUCCUAUGAUAGGGAUUGGGGCUUGUAACCAACCCCGUGAACAAGGAAUUUCCGGUAGGCGCGGGUCAACAGCCCGCGUUGACCACGUCCCUACCCUUUGUACAUACCGUCCGUCGCUACUAUCGAUCGAACGGUCCGGUGAGGUCCUCAGAUUUGGCCAACGACGCCACCGGGCAGCGUGCACAUGGCGCAGCGGUCGACCCUGUUGCUGUCGCCGUUUCCCGCGCGCGUCGUACUCGUCUCGGAGUUCAAUGCCUGGAGAAGUCGACAGAACCCGAUCUUUUAGAGGAAGUAAAAGUUGUAACAAGGUUUCCGUAGG